rnacentral:rRNA from 1 species
AGUCAACGCUGGCGGCGUGCCUCAGACAUGCAAGUCGAACGAUUAAAGCUCUCUUCGGAGAGUGCAUAAAGUGGCGCACGGGUGAGUAACACGUAAGUAAUCUGCCCUCGAGUGGGGAAUAACGUCCGGAAACGGACGCUAAUACCGCAUAACGCAGCGGCACCGCAAGGUGACAGUUGUUAAAGGAGCAAUCCGCUUGAGGAGGAGCUUGCGGCAGAUUAGCUUGUUGGUAGGGUAACGGCCUACCAAGGCUACGAUCUGUAACCGGUCUAAGAGGACGGUCGGUCACACUGACACUGAAUAACGGGUCAGACUCCUACGGGAGGCAGCAGUCGGGAAUUUUGGGCAAUGGGGGAAACCCUGACCCAGCAACGCCGCGUGAAGGAUGAAGUAUUUCGGUAUGUAAACUUCGAAAGAAUAGGAAGAAUUAAUGACGGUACUAUUUAUAAGGUCCGGCUAACUACGUGCCAGCCGCCGCAGUAAAAC